GUUGUGCCACCAAAGUGUUUCUGUUCACUGAUUGUAUGGGUUUUUUGUUGAAGAGCAUCAUUAGCAAUGACAACAAUAAUUAAUUCAGUUCUGAUACUGCUGUUUUUAAAUGAUAUUCAUUGUCAGACCUUCACUCAGUCUGAAGAUGUUGUAAAAAGACCAGGUGAAUCUUUUCGUCUGGUCUGUACUGCCUCUGGAUUUACAUUCAGCAGCUACUAUGUAGGUGUAGUGAGACCAUUGAAGUUCGGCACAUCCAGUUCUCCAAUCUCCUAUUCCCAGUCAGUUCAGGGCAGGUUCACAGUGUCCAGAGAUGAUUCCAGCAGUCAACUGUACCUACAGAUUAACAGCCUCAAGACUGAAGACACUGCUGUGUAUUACUGCGCUGUAGGGUAG